rnacentral:rRNA from 1 species
UACGAAGGGGGCUAGCGUUGCUCGGAAUCACUGGGCGUAAAGGGUGCGUAGGCGGGUCUUAAGUCAGGGGUGAAAUCCUGGAGCUCAACUCCAGAACUGCCUUUGAUACUGGAGAGCUUGAGUCCGGGAGAGGUGAGUGGAACUGCGAGUGUAGAGGUGAAAUUCGUAGAUAUUCGCAAGAACACCAGUGGCGAAGGCGGCUCACUGGUCCGGUACUGACGCUGAGGUGCGAAAGCGUGGGGAGCAAACAGG